GACGAACGCUGGCGGCGUGCCUAACACAUGCAAGUGGAGCGACGAACCAGGCUUCGGCCUGGGGCAAAGCCGCGAACGGGUGAGUAACACGUGGGUAACCUGCCCUGAUGAUUGGGACAACCCGAGGAAACUCGGGCUAAUACCGAAUGUGCCCUCCGGCCUCAAGGCCGCUGGGGAAAGGAAGCUUCGGCCUCCGCAUCGGGAUGGGCCCGCGGCCCAUUAGCUUGUUGGUGAGGUAACGGCUCACCAAGGCGACGAUGGGUAGCUGGUCUGAGAGGACGAUCAGCCACACUGGGACUGAGACACGGCCCAGACUCCUACGGGAGGCAGCAGUGGGGAAUCUUGCGCAAUGCGCGAAAG
rnacentral:rRNA from 1 species